rnacentral:rRNA from 1 species
AAGGUAAUAAUCCUGUAGUCGAAAAUGUUGUCUCUCUUGAGUGGAUCCUGAGUACGACGGAGCACGUGAAAUUCCGUCGGAAUUCGGGAGGACCAUCUCCUAAGGCUAAAUACUCUCUAGUGACCGAUAGUGAACCAGUACCGUGAGGGAAAGGUGAAAAGCACCCCGGAAGGGGAGUGAAAUAGAACCUGAAACCGUGUGCUUACAAGUAGUCAGAGCCCGUUAAUGGGUGAUGGCGUGCCUUUUGUAGAAUGAACCGGCGAGUUACGAUUUGAUGCAAGGUUAAGCAGUAAAUGUGGAGCCGUAGCGAAAGCGAGUCUGAAUAGGGCGUUUAGUAUUUGGUCGUAGACCCGAAACCAGGUGAUCUACCCUUGGUCAGGUUGAAGUUCAGGUAACACUGAAUGGAGGACCGAACCGACUUACGUUGAAAAGUGAGCGGAUGAACUGAGGGUAGCGGAGAAAUUCCAAUCGAACCUGGAGAUAGCUGGUUCUCUCCGAAAUAGCUUUAGGGCUAGCCUCAAGUGAUGAUUAUUGGAGGUAGAGCACUGUUUGGACGAGGGGCCCCUCUCGGGUUACCGAAUUCAGACAAACUCCGAAUGCCAAUUAAUUUAACUUGGGAGUCAGAACAUGGGUGAUAAGGUCCGUGUUCGAAAGGGAAACAGCCCAGACCACCAGCUAAGGUCCCAAAAUAUAUGUUAAGUGGAAAAGGAUGUGGCGUUGCCCAGACAACUAGGAUGUUGGCUUAGAAGCAGCCAUCAUUUAAAGAGUGCGUAAUAGCUCACUAGUCGAGUGACACUGCGCCGAAAAUGUACCGGGGCUAAACAUAUUACCGAAGCUGUGGAUUGUCCUUUGGACAAUGGUAGGAGAGCGUUCUAAGGGCGUUGAAGCAUGAUCGUAAGGACAUGUGGAGCGCUUAGAAGUGAGAAUGCCGGUGUGAGUAGCGAAAGACGGGUGAGAAUCCCGUCCACCGAUUGACUAAGGUUUCCAGAGGAAGGCUCGUCCGCUCUGGGUUAGUCGGGUCCUAAGCUGAGGCCGACAGGCGUAGGCGAUGGAUAACAGGUUGAUAUUCCUGUACCACCUAUAAUCGUUUUAAUCGAUGGGGGGACGCAGUAGGAUAGGCGAAGCGUGCGAUUGGAUUGCACGUCUAAGCAGUAAGGCUGAGUAUUAGGCAAAUCCGGUACUCGUUAAGGCUGAGCUGUGAUGGGGAGAAGACAUUGAGUCUUCGAGUCGU